GCUACACAUGCAGUCGAGCGGAACGAUGGUAGCUUGCUACCAGGCGUCGAGCGGCGGACGGGUGAGUAACACUUAGGAAUCUACCUAGUAGUGGGGGAUAGCUCGGGGAAACUCGAAUUAAUACCGCAUACGACCUACGGGAGAAAGGGGGCAGUUUACUGCUCUCGCUAUUAGAUGAGCCUAAGUCGGAUUAGCUAGAUGGUGGGGUAAAGGCCUACCAUGGCGACGAUCUGUAGCUGGUCUGAGAGGAUGAUCAGCCACACCGGGACUGAGACACGGCCCGGACUCCUACGGGAGGCAGCAGUGGGGAAUAUUGGACAAUGGGGGCAACCCUGAUCCAGCCAUGCCGCGUGUGUGAAGAAGGCCUUUUGGUUGUAAAGCACUUUAAGCAGUGAAGAAGACUCUAGGGUUAAUACCCCUAGACGAUGACAUUAGCUGCAGAAUAAGCACCGGCUAACUCUGUGCCAGCAGCCGCGGUAAUACAGAGGGUGCAAGCGUUAAUCGGAAUUACUGGGCGUAAAGCGAGCGUAGGUGGCUUGAUAAGUCAGAUGUGAAAUCCCCGGGCUUAACCUGGGAACUGCAUCUGAUACUGUUGAGCUAGAGUAGGUGAGAGGAAGGUAGAAUUCCAGGUGUAGCGGUGAAAUGCGUAGAGAUCUGGAGGAAUACCGAUGGCGAAGGCAGCCUUCUGGCAUCAUACUGACACUGA
rnacentral:rRNA from 1 species